rnacentral:lncRNA from 1 species
GUCUAUCUUGCAGAUUAUUAUGGUAAUGAGUUUAUUUAUGUGGAUUGUUUCAGGAUAUCUUAAAACUAUGUACAGACCUAAAAAAAAUCCUCAUAAUCUUUGCAGAACUGGGGAGGCAUACAGAUCAUCAGAGUCCUAGAAGGAAAGGCAAAAGUGGGUUGGGCUAAAAAUAUAUUUGAAAAAAUAAUGUCCAAAACAUUUUCGAGUUUGGCAAAAGACAUACAACUACAGAUUCAAGAAAUGAGAAAAUCUAAAACGGGACAGAUACAAAAAAAUCAACAUAGAAACAGGUCAAUUUCAGAAAACUUCUGCAGAAGAAAAAAUCUUGGAAGCAGUGAGGUAAAACAAUGCUUCAUCUCUCCAGAAGAAAAACAAUUUGAAUGACAAUGAUUUUCUAUCAGAAAUAAUAGUGGCCAGAAGGAAGUGAUAUAUUUCUCAAGUACUGGAAAACAAGAACUGUCAAUCCAGAAAUCUGUAUUAGGCAAAAAUGUCCUUUAGAAAUGAAGGAGAAUUAAAUAAAUUCUCAGAAGAAGAAAAAUUAAGAAUUGGUUGCAAACAGACCUACCCUAAAGAAAAGCAAAAAGUUCUUGAAACAUAAAGAAAAUGAAUAAGGUGCCUGAAAUCAUCAUAAGAGUAACAGAAAGAGCAAAAAUAUGAAUAAGUACAAGAGAUUUUUCUUCUUGCGUUUUCUAAAUUAUGUUUGACUUUUGAAUCAAAAACUGUAACAUUGAAAUGGUUAUCAAUACCUAAAUGAAAAAUUUUAAAAAUUAUAUAAACAAGGAUUGGUAAAGAGACUUCCAAUGAGAUAAGAUUUUUACACUUCACUAGAAGUGUUAGAUAUUUUGAUAGUGGUAGUGGUCACAAGAAUUUACACAUGUAAUGACAGAUGUAUGCAUACAUAUUUUUUAAUGUCAGUUUCUUGGUUUUAAUGUUUUACUGUAGCUACAAAAAAAUGUAACCACUGGGGAAACUAGGUGAAGAGUAUGGGAGACCUCUCUGUACUAUAUUUGCAACCUUCUGUNNNNNNNNNNAAAAAAAAAAAAAAAAAAAGAACAGAGUCUCAAGGACCUAUAAGACUAUAGCAAAAAAUCUGCUAUUCAUGUCAUCAGAGUCCUAGAAGGAAAGGCAAAAGUGGGUUGGGCUAAAAAUAUAUUUGAAAAAAUAAUGUCCAAAACAUUUUCGAGUUUGGCAAAAGACAUACAACUACAGAUUCAAGAAAUGAGAAAAUCUAAAACGGGACAGAUACAAAAAAAUCAACAUAGAAACAGGUCAAUUUCAGAAAACUUCUGCAGAAGAAAAAAUCUUGGAAGCAGUGAGGUAAAACAAUGCUUCAUCUCUCCAGAAGAAAAACAAUUUGAAUGACAAUGAUUUUCUAUCAGAAAUAAUAGUGGCCAGAAGGAAGUGAUAUAUUUCUCAAGUACUGGAAAACAAGAACUGUCAAUCCAGAAAUCUGUAUUAGGCAAAAAUGUCCUUUAGA